rnacentral:rRNA from 1 species
AGUGGCGGACGGGUGAGUAACGCGUGGGUAACCUGCCUCAUACAGGGGGAUAACAGUUAGAAAUGACUGCUAAUACCGCAUAAGACCACGGAGCCGCAUGGCUCAGUGGGAAAAAACUCCGGUGGUAUGAGAUGGACCCGCGUCUGAUUAGGUAGUUGGUGGGGUAACGGCCUACCAAGCCAACGAUCAGUAGCCGACCUGAGAGGGUGACCGGCCACAUUGGGACUGAGACACGGCCCAA